rnacentral:tRNA from 1 species
GCAAGCAUGGUGCAGUGGUUUAAGCAUUGGACUACAACUCUGGAGACCAGGGUUCAAAUCCCUGUUCAGCCA